CUUAAAUUAGCUUAUUGUGAGAAUAAGCAAUAAGAAGUUUUUUUUUUUUUUUUUCCUAUCCAAACACCCCUAAUAAAAAUGAAAAUAUUAUAUCAAUUACCUAUAUACGAGAUCCUUCUUUAGACAGUAAGACUAUGCACGUCACCUGCUUGCCUGCUGCUUUCCUCAUCCAAUAAGAAGUCUGGCGGUCAUUCUUUAACUUAUGUGGAGUCGGUUUGCUUUCCUUCUCCACACCGCCUCAAUUAGUUGUGUCAAGCCGAGUCACUGUCUAUUUUCUCAUGUUUUUCCGUUUUCCCGCCACCUCCUACUUGGUUUUGCGCACCGACCACUGGGUUCAAUAAACGGCGUCGUUUGGCUAUUGAUGAAGGUCACCUAGACGUCACGAUGAGGUAGAAGACUUAGCGGUGGGUUUUCCUUCUUGGCGGCCACGUUCCCCCCAAAGCUGCAUACCUUUUGGAUCCCUUUUUACCGCCACCUCCCAUUGAUUGCUGCUGAGUCACCCUUUUGACUUCCUCUUCAUGCCGCUCCAUGUUUAUUCUGUAUUUAAGGUUCGCAUAAUUUCACAUGUUUGUUGUUGGUUGUUUUUUUGCGAUUUAAUAUUUGAUUCUUCUUUCCCCAUUUCCAUAAUCGGGUUUUGUUGCUUCACGAUUGAUGUUGAAGAGGACGAAAGGGAAGGGCCUGAUGAAGAGACGAUUUAGCCUAAAGACCGUUACUAAUGACAAAUCGAUGACAUGGAACCUUAAAUUAAGGUAAUCUAUUUUUCUCAUUUUCUCUUUCUCGAUUACUUAUUGACGUGCACAGUAUCCACCACCAUGACCAGCUUGUAUUCUUACUCUCAUCUUUUGUUGACUGUUAGAUAAAACUAAUUUUCCUUUUUUUUUAAUAGUUUAACAUAUACAAUGACUUUCUUGAUUCUCUUUUGAUUUUAGUAAUCGUACGGAAAAAACCAUCAUCACUACAAGAAAAGGGACCUAUAGAGACGAAAAUUGUCGUCCCUGUAGGUUCAAAAGUUGUCUCUAUAGGUGUUUGGGACGACAAGUCGUCCCUAUAGCUUUUGUCUCCAUAGCCCUGUCGCAACAGAUCCUUUCGGUCGUCACUAAAAAUAUCGUCGCAAUAAGUUGCCUUUAUAGACGACAUGUCGUCCGAUUCUGGUUCGUCGCUACAAGUUGCUGGUCUCUAUAGUUGUAUCUAUAGAGACGACAAGUCGUCUCUAUAGCUUCAUCUAUUAAAACAACAUGUUGUCGCCAUGGAUACAACUAUAGAGACAACAUGUCGUUCCCAUAGAUAUAGCUAUAGAGACAACAGGUGGUUUCUAUAGAUAGAGAUGCAAUCGACAGUUCUUACCCUAUAGCGACAGCAGCUCGUCGUGGUUGAUGCACCUAUAGAGACGACAUGUCGUCUCUAUAGGUAUGCCCAUACAGCUGCUAUUUCCCUCUUUAAUUUCCCUGUUUUUGCAUCACAAAAUUGCUAAAUAGGAAAUAGUAAUCUGAAUUCUAAAUGCAAACAUUAAUAAGCCAUAACACCAUUAGUUCAAUUAUCCCCUGAAUGAGAGAGAAGGUAUGAAAAGCAUCUCAAAAUGAAGACAAACAUAAGUAACCAAAACCAUAUGAGCUUCAAAAAUAUUCCCAAAAACACAUGCUUGCAGAAAAGAUUUUUUGAGUUUCAAGUAUCAGAUUUAUGAACAAAAUGAUAUUGUUGAGACAAAAAAAAGUAGAGCCCAUAUAAUACGUUCAGAAUAUUCCAGCCGAUAGCUGAUAGGUCGGAAUUGGAAUUGAACUUGAUUACCAGAGUUGCUUUAUUUUCUUCUUUCCAUUCCAACUUGGUUCUCUCUAAAACCUCAACAACCUACAAUUCCAUUCCAUCCGAUAUAAUAAUAAUAAUAAUAAUAAUAAUAAUAUUAAAUAUUAAAUGAUUAAUAAUAUCAAAUAUAGUUUCAUCAUAAUUCAUACCGUGUGUUUAAGUUAUGAAGUCCCUCCAAAUCCAGUGACAACAUUCAAUUCCCCCAGAACUGUACAACAUCAUAAUAAAUCCAUUAUUUAAAAUAUAAUUAUGUUUAUGUAUGUAUGGAUAUCAUGAAAUAGAUGAUUAUUAUUAUUAUUAUUAUUAUGCUUACAUCCGCCACAUGCAUAACAGAAGGUGAUAACUGAUAAUUAAAAAUUUUGUUAUUAAGAGGGAAGAUAGAAAACUUCAAUUUUAAUUUUAAUAGAUGUGAAUGUGAUGCAAACCUCCUUUGAAGUUAGAAGAACAUCACUAAACCUCAGCAACUUAGCAAGUGCUUCUUGUUCUUCAAGUGUCCCAAUAGCAAGAGACUUCCCCUUUGGUCAAAAAAAGACUGAUGUUCCAACUUCAACAGCAUACUCAAGGGCAUGAGUAAUCAAAUUUGCAGGAAGCUCAUGAAAUCAUAGCCAUUACAGAAAAGGGCUUUUGACUUUUGUAUACUCCUCUUUGCUUCAUUAGAUAAUGUUCUCAUCUAAGUAAAUGCAGGUUCCUUGCUAAAAUCUGCUCGACUAUAACAAAAUCUAGGUCAAAUAUUGAUGAAUUAUGAUCUGUAAAGUUGGUAUAAGCUACAAUACACUUGAACGAACUUUCAAUUAAUCACGUAUACCUGCAAAACAUGUGUCUUUGUAAAGGAUCCACCAAGACCAAACAUAAAAUUGUCUCGUAUGCACUACCGGAAAAUUUCCAUAUAUGAUAAUGACAGGAGCCCCAUCUCUUCUUUCUAGUGUUAAGAUAAUAAGAUGAUCGUGAAGGAGAAAACACAGAAACCUAGAUAAAAAAAUAAGCCGGUGUAAAUUUAUAAAUUUAAAAAGAUUCCCAAAACUAGGAUUUGAUGUUGUACAAGUAUGAAGAUAUGGAUAACUAUAAACACAACAUACCUUAUGGAGUAUCAAAAAUACCCUUCCCAAGUUCACCCUCGGUUAGCACUUUAUGAUGAAUAGUACCAGAAACUGCAUAUGUAACUAAAAUUUAACUUACAUAAACAUAAUUUGGCAUAUUAAGUACAGGACUUGAUAACAGCAACAACCUGUUAUAUACCAAAUAAUAGAUGAAAGAAUGGACAACAAUUUGAGCUUUCAAUCAAACCAUAGUCACAACAAUUUGAGGUUACAAUCCAGUAAAACAUAACAGUGAAAGUUAUAAUUCGAGACUAAAACCGGAAAUUAAUUUAUGGAGUUGCAGAUAGGAUCAUAAGAAUUUGAAGAAUAAGUAAAUCAACAAAACAAAAUUAACAAAAUGAAGUACCAAAUUGACAACCCUACCAACAAGAACAAGUUAACUUAAACAAAUUUAGUCAUGAUUCCAGUUAGAGUAUUAGUUAUAAUUCCAAUAUCACAAGCACCAAUUAAGAAAUUUAUAAAUGUCUACUCUUACAUAGAGUUGAGAGCAACCUGAUUAAUCGCAGAUGUUGCUUAAACAGAUGCCAAUUCUAUUCAGGACCUUGAUGUGGCUCAAUAUCUCGAUAUUCUUCCUCAACAUCAAAAUGAGGUUGUCAGUCAUUAGAAAUCAAAUUUCCUUUUAAUCGCAAAAGCUAUGGUGAGGAACGAGAAAAGGAGAUGGUGAUUUGCUUAUCGAAGUGAGCAAAUGGUCUCAUGUGAGAGAAACUGUGAAACUAUAGAAAAUCACAAGUUAGGGACGAAGAAGAAGGAACAAAAAACAUAGAAAAAUUAGAGAUGCGCAUGAGCUUGAACGAAUCAGUAAAGAAGAAUGGAGAUUUGCUUGAGCUCUAAAAACCUUGAACGAAUGAGAAAUGGAGAUGAUUCAAGUGUUGACAAAUGAUGUGAGCAAAUAACUUCCUGAGAGAGAAACAAAGAAGAUCGGAGACCACCAAGGGAAAGGGAUUCUCUUAACUGAACCCUAUGGGGACGAUAAGUCGUCCGCAUAGCCUCAACUAAACGACGCCGUUUUCCAUUUUCUAG